AUUCGAAAUAAUAAUCAAAGGGCAUGCAUAUAAAAAAAUAUUAAUAAUAAACCAACAAAAUGUUUUUUUAAAAUGAAUAACUACAUGGAUGAGCAUGAAUGGUUGUCUCUUUCUAUGCGUUAGCCCUGUGACAGUUUUGGAUGGAUGGAUGUCAUAAAUCACACGGACGCAGCUUUAUCACAGAAAUACUUAGAUGCUAUGCUGUAACUAUAAUUAUUCGUGGAGCUCAUAAGAUGUAAUGAAUGUUUUUUGAACCAGUCAAAAUGGCGCCCCGUGAAGGAUACGAGGAUGGAAACAUCGCAGAGAAGCACAUAGCAGAGACCGGAGCGACCGGCUGGUCCACAUUCACAAAGCGUCCCAUCAGUCGGUGCUUCAGUUAUCACCGCAAACAUACAGAUGAUGAGCUACAGAUGGACACACCGAAGUUUCCCACAGCCAAGUUUCUGCUGAUGAAACACAACUGCAACCAGGAGCUGAUCGGAUCUAAAAUGGAGAAUGAAAUUGUGAAACCUCCGUGUGUGAGGACAAACAGUAGAAGGUUUCCCCCCGAUUUAUAGAUUCCACCCUGAACCUUUGAAAAGACACGUUAUGCCUAAGAUGAGGAAUGAAAUCCUUGAGAAGCUCGAUUGAUUCUUGUAAAUCUCCUGCCAAACUCAGCGGGGCAUGAAAAGCGAGACUGCCGUUACAGUUGCUGUAAAAAGUUGCUAGAAAAAGACGUAAAUGCCAACAAAAAAAAGAG
rnacentral:lncRNA from 1 species